CUAAGCUUUAGAUAACUUGACAGACUUUUAUGUCACUGCUAAAAUUGUGUGGUAAAUGAGAAAUUAGCUUAAAUCUAUUUACUUGGCAACAGAUCGUAACAACUUAGAAAUGUCUACUCAUGUUAUUUAAAUUUGAAUAUAUCUUGAGCUAGAUUUCUGUGUGUUUUUUGAGAUGGAGUUUUACUUUUGUUGCCCAGGCUGGAGUGCAAUGGUGCAAUCUCAGCUCACUGCAAUCUCUGACUCCAGGGUUCAAGUGAGUCUCCUGCCUCAGCCUCCCAAGUAGCUGGUAUUAUAGGCACCUGCCACUAUGCCCAGCUAAUUUUUGUAUUUUUAGUAGAGAUGGGGUUUCACUAUGUUGGCCAGGCUGGUCUCUAACUCUUGAUCUCAGGUGAUCCACCCGCCUUCGCCUCCCAAAAUGCUUGGAUUACAGGCAUGAGCCACUGUGCCCAGCCGAGCCAGACUUCUUAAUUUUAUGGUCUUCAUGUAGAAAAAUACAUCUUUCCAAAACAACCAGAGACUGAUUUUCCUAUUGUUAGUGUUCUUAAGACUUUAUUCAGUCUUCCUUCGCUAAGUGCUUAUUUUUCUUUUUGUUAAAGUAUUACACAGAAAGAAUUACCCAGCUGGUCCAGAGUAAAUAUUUACACAUACUUAGGUGGAAGAGGUUUUGCCAACACAGUAAGAUCAUGGAGCAACUUAUCCUCUUUACAAGAAACAAGUUGGCUACAUUAUGCAGGAGAACAAUGAUGUCCUUCAGAGAGCUGAAAGAUUGUUGCUCGAGAAAACUUCCUCCUAACUUAGUGACACAGGAAGAUCUUACUAUUUACACAAAGUGGUUAGUGCGCCACCUGCACUCUCUCAGGAUUGUGCACCACUGCCUGCAGGCCCUCCAGUAUUUGCCAAUCUCCAAAGUGCUGAAUGUAGCUGCCAACCAAGUCCUUGAAGUUGGUCAGGAAAAUGAAAAGGUCUGUGUCAUUGAUAUUGACCCUGACAUUCAGGGUUCUUCAUCUCCUGACUCUGUGGAUACCAGCAUUUUUGGUAAGAAAUUAGUCUUCUUUCCCCUAGGGUAAUGUGGAGCAAAGAAGAUUAUAAUUUUAGACUUAUGCUGGUUGUCCCAUGAUCUUGCUAAAAAUUGUUCUAUAUACUUAAAGGUAUAUAUAGAAUGUAAAUGUAUACAUUCUAUAUAUAUACACACAUUAUAUAUAUAUA
rnacentral:lncRNA from 13 species